UGGGCAAUAGCUAUGUAAACAUUGCCAGCAUUUUCUCUGUUUCCCCAGAGAUGGGAGGCUGACUUGACUUUUGAGGGCAGAUUCCUCCUUUACUUGAAUGGGCCUUCUGGUUAUGAAAAGAUAAAGGCAGGAGCCUCUUUGGGAGUGGAAGGGUUUAAUGCAGCCGGAAGCCGAACUGCCUCGUUUGAAGUAAAUGUCUAAGUAAACUGUGAAAACGAAAUGUCGUCUUCAGGGGAAGCCCCUCUCCUGCUUAGAACAAUAUGGUUGGACCUGAAGACCUGAUGAGAAAAACCACAAGGGAGCAUGACAUCCCUCAUAGGCUGACUCCCCAGGUGGAUGGCUGUUUGGUCCCUGUUUCCUGUUUUGAGUGGGGAAUUAAUCUGUCAUGGCAAAGUCUUGAGAACAGGGGAUUUCUCCUUCCUUCUCUGACCAAGUCAGUGAGCAGGGGGGACGGGGGGCACGGUUACUUGGCCAGCUUUACUUUCCCUUCGGGUUGUUUGUCUUUGAGUUGAUCGUGAGGGACUUAGCCAUUUGUCUCCCAAC